UCACGGGUGGUAAACCUGCUAGCGCAAUGAAAGUGACUGCUGGGAUUUUUGCACCAGCAACCGACUGAUCAAUUGAGAGAGGUUUGAGUAUGAGCAUAUCUGUUAGGACCCGAAAGAUGGUGAACUAUGCCUGAGUAGGGUGAAGUCAGGGGAAACUCUGAUGGAGGCUCGUAGCGGUACUGACGUGCAAAUCGUUCGUCAAACUUGGGUAUAGGGGCGAAAGACUAAUCGAACCAUCUAGUAGCUGGUUCCCUCCGAAGUUUCCCUCAGGAUAGCUGGAGUUCUUAGGAGCCACGUGAGGUAAAGCGAAUGAUUGGAGGACUUGGGUUUGAAACAUUCUCUGCCUACUCUCAAACUUUAAAUGUGCGUGAACAUCUGAUUGCUUAAUUGAAUCGGGUUGUAGGGUCUAGAAUUCUUAGUGGGCCAUUUUUGGUAAGCAGAACUGGCGAUGCGGGAUGCUCCGGAAGCUGGGUUAAGGUGCCUAACUAAUCGCUCAUUCAGAUACCAUGAAAGGUGUUGGUUGAUUUAGACAGCAGGACGGUGGUCAUGGAAGUUGAAAUCCGCUAAGGAGUGUGUAACAACUCACCUGCCGAAUCAAGUAGCCCUGAAAAUGGAUGGCGCUCAAGCGAUUGACCGAUACUCAGCCAUUUGUGCUUUUGUGAUGCAUAAAUGAGUAGGAGGGCGUGACGAUAGUGCCGAAGGUGUGGCGGUGACGUCCACUGAAGCUGUCGUUAGUGCAGAUCUUGGUGUUAGUAGCAAAUAUUCAAAUGAAAACUUUGAAGGCCGAAGUGGAGAAAGGUUUCACGUGAAGUUUAAUGCGACGUGAGUGACCCAGUCCUAAUCGUCUCCUGAAAUGGAAAGAUAGGUUGCUUUUUGCGCCAUCACGAGAAAGGGAAACCGGUUAAUAUUCCGGUGGUGCAACCACGAUGCUAAGCGGUGACGCUGUAGAACCGGGUGACGCCAGCGAGGUCCCUGGAAAGAGUUUUCUUUUCUUUUUAACAAAUUGACAGUGAAUGGAAUGGGAUUAUCCCGAGAUAUUCAGUGUUGUUUGGCAAAGCAGGUGACUUUCUCACCUGUCCGGUGCGAUCUCGAUGGUCCAUGAAAAGCCUGGGGAUUAUUUACAUCAGAGUUGUAGCUGUACUCAUAACCGCAUCAGGUCUCCAAGGUGAAUAGCCUCUGGUCGAUGUGAUAAUGUAGGUAAGGGAAGUCGGCAAAUUAGGUCUGUAACUUCGGGAAAAAGACUGGCUCUUAGGGCUGGGCGUAUGAGGCUCGAAAUUGAAGUCUCCUAUUUCCGUCGUCUGGCUAGCUCUUCGGGGCAGGCCGAAUGAUCGUGAUUUGGGUGAUGGAUUUUUCGGGAUGCUUCGGCGAUCUCUGCGUAUUUAACAGCUAACUGAGAACUGGCGCGGACAAGGGGAAUCCGACUGUUUAAUUAAAACAAAGCAUUGUGAUGGUCGGAAACGAUGUUGACACAAUGUGAUUUCUGCCCAGUGCUCUGGAUGUCAAAGUGAUGAAAUUCAAGGAAGCGCGGGUAAACGGCGGGAGUAACUAUGACUCUCUUAAGGUAGCCAAAUGCCUCGUCAUCUAAUUAGUGACGCGCAUGAAUGGAUUAACGAGAUUCCCACUGUCCCUACCUACUACACAGUGAAACCACAGCCAAGGGAACGGGCUUGGGUGUAACGGCGGGGAAAGAAGACCCUGUUGAGCUUGACUCUAGUCUGACUUUGUGAGGUGACUUGAGAGGUGCAGCGUAAGUGGGAGAGCAAUCGUCAAUGAGACACCACUACUCUUAUCGUUGUCUUACUUAUACGUUUAGUAAGCAACAGAAUAUUACAUUCUGCUUAUAGUUUUAAGCACACUCGUGUGCGAGCUUGGACGUUGACAGUGUCAGGCGGGGAGUUUGGCUGGGGCGGCACAUCUGUUAAAUGAUAACACAGGUGUCCUAAGAUCAGCUCAGUGAGAACAGAAAUCUCACGUAGAGCAUAAGGGUAAAAGCUGAUUUGACAACCACCUCCAGUGAUGGUGGAAGCCGUGAAAGCGUGGCCUAGCGAACUCUCAACUUGUGGAUAUUACGGUUGGGAAUGUCAGAAAAGUUACCACAGGGAUAACUGGCUUGUGGCAGCCAAGCGUUCAUAGCGACGUUGCUUUUUGAUUCUUCGAUGUCGGCUCUUCCUAUCCCUAAGUCGCAUAAGGCUUAAACGGUAAGAUUGUUCACCUACUAACAGGGAACGUGAGCUGGGUUUAGACCGUCGCGAGACAGGUUAGUUUUAUCCUACUGUUACGUAUUCAUUUCGACAGUACCGCAACUCAGUACGAGAGGAACCGUUGUGGCGUGUAACCGGUAAAUGCCGUUGCCCGAGAGGACAAUGCGGCGAAGCUGCCACACGUGGGAUAACAGCUGAACGCCUCUAAGCUGGAAACCCUACUGACACAAAUGAAUUUAUAUCCGGGACUUUGGUUAAAUUAACCUUUAUGGUAUACCAUUUUUUCAUCUUAAGUUCUUGAUUCCACAAAUCCUUUGUAGACGACUUAAUUAAAGCGGGUAUUGUAAGCUGUAGAGUCGCCUCGAUU
rnacentral:rRNA from 1 species